GAGGCGGGGCCUGGGCGCGGCGGAGGCGGUGGCCCGCGCCGCGGGUCACGUGGGCUCCUGCGGCCCGGCGGCCGAGCCGGCCUGCCGCAGGGCCGGGGGCGGAGGCCGGUGCUGCCCUUUGGCGGGGAGCGCCACCGGCCCGUGGAAAGGGCACAACCCCCACGCCGCGCUUAGGGGCUUCCCCCCGCGAAAGGUCCCAGAGGACAGGACUGCUUGUUCCCCUGGUGGGCUGUGCAGAGCGCGGCGUGAGUCGCUGUUCAGGCCGACCCGGCCGGGCCUUCCCGCGCUUCCCACGCCCCGCCCACCUCCCCUCUCCUUGCCCUGGAUAAGAAUUCCCCGCAGGGAACUGGCCCCACGUAGUGUGGCCCCCGGGAGCACGGCUAAUCCCUCAUCUUCGGCCGCUUUUCAGGGACAAGGAACGCGGAAGUUCUUUCGGUUUAGCAUGUAAGGCAAGAGCGCAGAAUCAACCUCGGGUCCCUCAAUUGACAAUCUGGCAUCCGGCAACUCCCUGUCCCGAACCGCCCUUGCUCCUCGCUUGACCUCAGUCUGGUGUCCCCUCCCUCUCACGCCAUUUCCUCUCCCUCCAUUAACUGCUCUACAUUGCAAAGGGAGAGCAAAGGGGCUCUUUGAUUUGACCUUGAAUUUACCUUGCCAGGAUCCUUUUGAGUCCCGCGCGUUUCAGGAGCUUUUCAAACUUUGAAUGAAGACCCACCGUGAGAAAUAGUUUACGACUCCAGGUGAUGCUGGCCAAUGGACCAUGAAUAUGCUGGAAUGUCUAUUUUUCUAGAACUUGGCGAAACUGUGCAAUUCCCGUCUCUACCUGCGCUACUCUCAUCCACCCAGGCACAGGCCACUUCUAUUCCUUCACAAGGGCGGAGGAGACUGGGCUUGGGCCGUGUGACUUGCAUGGCCAUCAGCAAACGUGGUGCGGAGACUUGAUAGGUGAUGUACAAAAGUGAGCCCUUCCUCCUUGGAACCCAGCUGCCAUGCUUUAAGAAAGCCAGUCUAACCGGCUAGCAGAUGAGAAACUCCGCACUCUCGCUGACCAACGCCAACUUCCGGAAGUGUGAAUGAAACCGUCUUGGAUGUUUCUAUUUCGGCCCCAGGAGAGCUCCCAUCUGUUUGCAGCCGCUGAAUGAGCGACCCAGGUGAAUGAAUGACCUUGGUCAAUAUCGCCCGGAGGAGGGAAACCACCCAGCCGAGCGCAGAUAGUACACAGAAUCGUGGCACAUAAUAAAUGGUUAUUGUUUGGAGAC